AGAGAGAGAGAGGUGGGGCGUGCUUGUGGCUGGGGUUUGACACACUAUCUAUCAAAGCGAGAGUUAUCUCAAAUUUGUUCGUUUUCUAAGUGGUGAUGCACCAAGUUAGGUGUGGGGGUGAGGGCGAGGAGCGAGCACAAGUUUGAUCUCUUCCUUGCCCUCUCUCUAUUUUGUUGUCUUCUUCUCAUUUCUUAUUGAAAGGGUCAUGUGAUACAUUUUCUCCAUUUGACAUUGACCAUUUGAUAAUGCUGCUUUUAGUCUAAG
rnacentral:lncRNA from 1 species